rnacentral:lncRNA from 1 species
AUGUUGAGCCCUGGUGCUGAUGUCAUCCCAGUUGUCAUGGUUACAGGUGAACAAGCCGCUGGAAGUGCAAAAUCAGCGCCGGGCUCCAAGGGGAAGGGAGGAUGGAGGGGGGAACCUGGGGAGGAACCCGAGGCUGGAAAUGAGCGAGCAGAAACAGCUGCCAUCGCCAGGCCUGUGUCUUGGCUGCUGAGAAACUUUCUGAAGAGAUCCACCACCUUAAAAAGAACUUAUUUUCCUCCCUACCUGUACAAACCAGUGUCUCAGCUACUGGGGCAUGAAACAUCAACACACAAAACGGCUGAGUGCUCUGUUCCUCAAAGCUGUCUUCAGUCAACAAACCCUUGCCACCCAUAAGGGAUUAAAUUCAUGCUUUCUGUGACAGACAAAGCCAUAACUAGAAAUUGGCUGUAAUGUACUCAGAACAGCUUCUUUAGCUUCUGGUUGAGACAAAGAGAGAGAGGGGGGACUUCAGUGUAAUGUGGCCCUUGCGCUUCAUAAUCUGUGCUCCUCUGGACUCUCAUCUGUGAUCUCCAUGCAGCUGACAUACUACACAGUGAAGGCGUUCAGGCUACUGUGGUAGGCAGUUUUUUUUUUUUUUUGCAAUUUUUACUUCUCUUGGAUGACUAUUUGCAUUGGCACUGUCAAUGUUAAAUGAUUUGAGAGGAAAAGAUUCAUACUCUGACAUUUGCCUUUCACUGCAUCCACACAGUUGUUCUGGUUAUAACAGUUUCUGCAUGGGGGAAAAAAAUCCUUUGGAAGUACAUGACUAUUUUUUUUUUCCAUCAUCAAAGAAGCCAAUUUCACCCAGAGCCUUAUUAAUAGCGUAGGUGGAAGUGGAACUCUAGCAGCAAAAGCCCAGCAGGCAUAAUAUGCUUGUUUUUCUUUUUUUCUUAUUAAUGCUAAUCCCACAUUGCUUAUUGCUCUUUUGGAAGAGUCUGAUUAGAACAAAAAGAACUGAUAUUAGCAUUAAUUGAGAAAAGUUAAUCUCACAGUGCAGACAGGUAAAUGACCUGCUUGGGACAAUGAAGAACUGUGGUGAAAUCCAAAUCUUCGCUACCAUUUUCAGACGAGGGUACUAUAGACUGUUAAUACUGCAAUAUGCAUUAUUAAUUAUGCAUCUAUAAUUCUUCUACCAACAAAACAGGAUUACUUCAGAAACAUUUUUUCUCUUAUUCUUUCGGUUUUAUUAACAAGUAGUGAUAGACAAUAGCUGAAUAUCUACAAACUUUCCAUGCUUUUCUAUCCGGUUCCCAGAUCUACCUCUGGCAACACAUAUGUAGAUUCAACACUGAUCCCCAUGAUGUCAGUCUCUAUUGAAUUUACUGAGAUUAGGCUGUGGCCUUUCAUUUCCAGCUGUCUGUUGAGGAAUGUGCUGAACUGGUUGACCAACGGGAAUGCUCAUUUUUUCUGUCAUUCAGAAAUUGUGAAGGUAAAAUAAAAUGAGCCUUGCAAGACUGAUAGCCCUUAGA